UCAAGGCUGGAGGUGCUCGCGAGGCGAGGGUUCUUGCUCGCCAUGGCGAGUACUAAACAAUUCCCAAACUAAAGUUGUUUUGGGUCUAAUCUUGCCCUACAUUCAUUCCUAAUCAUUACUAGGUAUGUUCAGGCACACUAAGGCAUUCAAGGUCCAACUAAAAAGGUCGAAACACAAAAUCUAACAUGCACUCUGCCUUAGCUCGCUAUGGCGAGUAAGGUCGCUCGCUAUGGCGAGCUGCAUUGCACAACUCGCGAGGCGAGGAAACAGGGUUCGCGAGGCGAGCGAUGAAUGUUCAUCACUCGCGAGGCGAGAUUCAUAGCUCGCCGUGGCGAGCGAUGAAUGUCGCUACGGCCAGACUUCCUAAAUUCACAAAAACUCGACGUUUCACAUGGUUCUAAGCUUGUUUUUGAUUCCA
rnacentral:lncRNA from 1 species